rnacentral:tRNA from 1 species
GGGCCUGUAGCUCAGUCUGGUUAGAGCGCUGUUUCAUCAUGAAGCGUAAGUCUUAUAUGACUGCUCUUGAUUCAAGUAUUUACAUCAAGGGUAGCUAAGCCAGCCAGAGGUCGGGGGUUCAAAUCUCCUCAGGCCCA